rnacentral:rRNA from 1 species
AAUGAACGCUGGCGGCAGGCCUAACACAUGCAAGUCGAACGCCCCGCAAGGGGAGUGGCGCACGGGUGAGUAACGCGUGGGAAUAUGCCCUUCGGUUCGGAAUAACACAGGGAAACUUGGGCUAAUACCGGAUACGCCCUUACGGGGAAAGAUUUAUUGCCGAAGGAACGGCCCGCGUCCGAUUAGCUAGUUGGUGAGGUAACGGCUCACCAAGGCGACGAUCGGUAGCUGGUCUGAGAGGAUGACCAGCCUCACUGGGACUGAGACACGGCCCAGACUCCUACGGGAGGCAGCAGUGGGGAAUAUUGGACAAUGGGCGCAAGCCUGAUCCAGCCAUGCCGCGUGGGUGAUGAAGGCCCUAGGGUUGUAAAGCCCUUUCAGCGGGGAAGAUAAUGACGGUACCCGCAGAAGAAGCCCCGGCUAACUUCGUACCAGCAGCCGCGGUAACAC